GACGAACGUUGGCGGCGUGCUUAACACAUGCAAGUCGAACGGAAAGGCCCUGCUUUUGUGGGGUGCUCGAGUGGCGAACGGGUGAGUAACACGUGAGUAACCUGCCCUUGACUUUGGGAUAACUUCAGGAAACUGGGGCUAAUACCGGAUAGGAGCUCCUGCUGCAUGGUGGGGGUUGGAAAGUUUCGGCGGUUGGGGAUGGACUCGCGGCUUAUCAGCUUGUUGGUGGGGUAGUGGCUUACCAAGGCUUUGACGGGUAGCCGGCCUGAGAGGGUGACCGGCCACAUUGGGACUGAGAUACGGCCCAGACUCCUACGGGGGGCAGCAGUGGGGAAUAUUGCACAAUGGGCGGAAGCCUGAUGCAGCAACGCCGCGUGCGGGAUGACGGCCUUCGGGUUGUAAACCGCUUUCGCCUGUGACGAAGCGUGAGUGACGGUAAUGGGUAAAGAAGCACCGGCUAACUACGUG
rnacentral:rRNA from 1 species